ACGGAUGAACGGUCUUGAACCGGAGACGUGAUAGGCUCAUAAUUGGAAACUAUGGUUGUAACUCCGGCAAACUGGAGGCAUUCUGGACGCGGGUUCGAAUCCCGCCACCUCCACCUGAGCGGAGGGCAGUUCGUUCAGGUGGGGGUGUACCGGUUUCGACAGGGUGAUUGAAAGCGCGCAGGCAACCCGUCAGGCGAUCGACGUUAAUGAAGCAAAUCCAUAAACGCCAACGAUGAGCGUUUCGCACUGGCCGCUUAAGGCUAAUGCCGGGGCCGCUUGAGCCUUGUUACCCAAGACAAGCCGGUAGGGACUUCGGUCCCUAUCGUUA
rnacentral:tmRNA from 1 species